rnacentral:rRNA from 1 species
GAUGAACGCUGGCGGCGUGCUUAACACAUGCAAGUCGAACGAAGCACUUUAUUUGAUUUCCUUCGGGACUGAUUAUUUUGUGACUGAGUGGCGUACGGGUGAGUAACGCGUGUGUAACCUGCCUUGUACAGGGGGAUAACAGUUGGAAACGGCUGCUAAUACCGCAUAAGCGCACAGCCUCGCAUGAUGCAGUGUGAAAAACUCCGGUGGUAUAAGAUGGACCCGCGUUGGAUUAGCUAGUUGGUGAGGUAACGGCCCACCAAGGCUACGAUCCAUAGCCGAGCAGAGAGGGUGACCGGCCACAUUGGGAGUGAGAAACGGCCCAAACUCCUACGGGAGGCAGCAGUGGGGAAUAUUGCACAAUGGGCGAAAGCCUGAUGCAGCGACGCUGCGUGAGCGAAGAAGUAUUUAGGUAUGUAAAGCUCUAUCAGCAGGGAAGAUAAUGACGGUACCUGACGAAGAAGCACCGGCUAAAUACGUG